rnacentral:miRNA from 1 species
CUGGAGGACUAAGAAGGCUGAGUCUGAUGAAGCAAGACUCUGCUGAUACAAUCCUCCUAG